GCAGAUUCUUUGGGUUAAUAUUUACCAAGUCGUGUAAUCUUGUUCUUUGGAGUUCAUGCAAAAAAUAAGAAAGAAAUUUCAGUUAGAAUGGUUUCCAAAAAAAUUGCGCUUACGAUCAUCUUCAGCGUGGUCGCUUUGGUCGCGUUGUUCGAUGCAACUACUGCCGCACGUGAAUGCAACAAUGGGGCGUCAAACUGUUUGGCAUGCGUUUGUAACGUGUGGGAUGACACUGCGACCUGCUGCAGGGCCGAGUUUAACCAAAACAAUGGAAAUUGUGAGGGAAUUAAGAAAGGGAAAAACGGUAGCUUCAAAAAAUGUUGUGACAGUAAACGAGGAUUUGGAAGGUGUUGGUAAUACAUAUGCAACUCAUGAUUAAUACUAUUAUUUAGUUUCACAUAUGCAAUUCGAAUCAGAAUAAAUCAAAUAAAAUGUAUAUUCAUUGGAAAACAA